rnacentral:rRNA from 1 species
AUUGAACGCUAGCGGGAUGCCUUACACAUGCAAGUCGAACGGAGUGGCGAACGGGUGAGUAAUGUAUCGGAACGUGCCCAGCAGCGGGGGAUAACUACGCGAAAGCGUAGCUAAUACCGCAUACUAUUUGCGUCGCCGAUAUCGGAUUAGCUAGUUGGUGGGGUAACGGCUAACCAAGGCGACGACCCGUAGCUGGUUUGAGAGGACGACCGGCCAAACGGGGACUGAGCCACGGCCCAGCCUCCUACGGGAGGAAGCAGUGGGGAAUUUUGGACAAGGGGGGAAACCCUGAUCCGGCCAUCCCGCGUGGGGGAUGAAGGCCUUCGGGUUGUAAAGCACUUUUGGCAGGAAAGCGGUACCUGCAGAAUAAGCACCGGCUAACUACGUGCCAGCAGCCGCGGUAAUUC